rnacentral:rRNA from 1 species
GACGAACGCUGGCGGCGUGCCUAAUACAUGCAAGUAGAACGCACAGUUUAUACCGUAGCUUGCUACACCAUAAACUGUGAGUUGCGAACGGGUGAGUAACGCGUAGGUAACCUGCCUGGUAGCGGGUGAUAACUAUUGGAAACGAUAGCUAAUACCGCAUAAUAUUGAUUAUUGCAUGAUAAUUGAUUGAAAGAUGCUAUUGCAUCACUACCAGAUGGACCUGCGUUGUAUUAGCUAGUAGGUGAGGUAACGGCUCACCUAGGCGACGAUACAUAGCCGACCUGAGAGGGUGAUCGGCCACACUGGGACUGAGACACGGCCCAGACUCCUACGGGAGGCAGCAGUAGGGAAUCUUCGGCAAUGGACGAAAGUCUGACCGAGCAACGCCGCGUGAGGGAAGAAGGUUUUCGGAUCGUAAAGCUCUGUUGUAAGAGAAGAACGGGUGUGAGAGUGGAAAGUUCACACUGUGACGGUAUCUUACCAGAAAGGGACGGCUAACUACGUG